AACCUUCCUUUUAAUUUAAAAAAAUGGCCACCACACAUGCUCAAAUGACUUCUGCAAGGCCCUGGAUCAUGCCAGGCCUCAUACAGGCCAUUUGAGCAUGUGCGGCAGCAGGCAAAAUGGUCACCGUGCCAAUUUACAGAGGCCCGAACAGGCCAAAAAGGAAGGUUUUAUAGGCCGCAGUGGUGAUAAACAAGGCCGGCAGGGGGAGGGGGAACCUUCACGGACCCCCACCCCAUGGCCUUUAGGAAGCCCCCUGAAGGGGCUACAGGAGACCAGCCCAACAGGAAGCAACUCCAUCAUCCUCGUGACAAACUGCAGUACAUUUAGAGGCUGGCCAGAGCAGGGGAGGAGCACAAGACACCGGAGAACAAAUCAGGCUGCUGCUGCUGCUGCUCCUGCUGGGAGAGGGCAGGACUAGCAGCACAGAGAAGUUAACCCUUUUUUUAACUCUGCUGCUACCAAGGAACUGCUGCUGAUCUGGAUACAAAUUCACAGGGUGUGCAACUGCACCCUUUCAACCCCACCUGGAUCCAUCCCUGGCUGUGCUGCCCUGAUCUAGUCCAAUUUCCUGGCAUGAGAGGAUAUCUUUUGGACACUUCAGUCAGACCUGAUGUAACAUUAGAACACAGAUGAAAGUGAAUUUUUAUGUUACAACUAAAAUAAAGUUGAAGUUGCCUCCAAAACAGUAUUUAAUUUAAUGGUGUAUUGAAAUAAUGCAAUAAAAACAAAAUUAUUAAAUACAUAUUUGAACCCAA